rnacentral:tRNA from 1 species
GCACCCGUAGCUCAGCAGGAUAGAGCGACCGCCUCCUAAGCGGUAGGCCGUGGGUUCGAAUCCCGCCGGGUGCGCCA